rnacentral:rRNA from 1 species
AGGGUUUGAUCCUGGCUCAGGAUGAACGCUAGCGGCAGGCUUAACACAUGCAAGUCGAGGGGUAACGAUUUCGAGUAAUCGAAAGGCGACGACCGGCGCACGGGUGAGUAACGCGUAUGCAACCUACCUCUAACUGGAGAAUAGGUCCCGGAAACGGGAAUUAAUACUCCAUAACAUUCUGGAUUCGCAUGUUUUCAGGAUUAAAGCUCCGGCGGUUAGAGAUGGGCAUGCGUGACAUUAGUUUGUUGGUGAGGUAACGGCUCACCAAGACUACGAUGUCUAGGGGGUCUGAGAGGAUGGUCCCCCACACUGGUACUGAGACACGGACCAGACUCCUACGGGAGGCAGCAGUGAGGAAUAUUGGGCAAUGGACGCAAGUCUGACCCAGCCAUGCCGCGUGCAGGAUGACUGCCCUAUGGGUUGUAAACUGCUUUUAUUUGGGAAGAAACCCUUGCUCGUGAGCGAGGCUGACGGUACCAAAAGAAUAAGCAUCGGCUAACUCCGUGCCAGCAGCCGCGGUAAUACGGAGGGUGCAAGCGUUAUCCGGAUUCAUUGGGUUUAAAGGGUGCGCAGGCGGACUUUUAAGUCAGUGGUGAAAUC